rnacentral:rRNA from 1 species
CCUCCUUUGUUCUGCCGUUUUUGCUAUUUCCCCCUUUUUUUCCCCCUGCUGCCGCGCCGCCGCGUGGGUGAAGAAGCGCCUCGGCGCGUAAAGCCCUGUCAGCAGGGAAGAAAAUGACGGUAUCUGAAGAAGAAGCCCCGGCUAACUACGUGCCAGCAGCCGCGGUAAUACGUAGGGGGCAAGCGUUAUCCGGAUUUACUGGGUGUAAAGGGGGCGCAGACGGCGAUGCAAGCCAGGAGUGAAAGCCCGGGGCCCAACCCCGGGACUGCUCUUGGAACUGCGUGGCUGGAGUGCAGGAGGGGCAGGCGGAAUUCCUGGUGUAGCGGUGAAAUGCGUAGAUAUCAGGAGGAACACCGGUGGCGAAGGCGGCCUGCUGGACUGCAACUGACGUUGAGGCCCGAAAGCGUGGGGAGCAAACAGGAUUAGAUACCCGGGUAGUC